CUUUAACAAGAGUUCCUAGUUUACAGUGGUUUACAGUGGGUGGGCACUGAGCUGCACUAGUUUGAGGACAACUCUGUGAUCACAAGUUCCCUAAAAACGCCGCUUGUAGGUGGCCCUGAGCACCUCCGGAGGGCACUGUAAGGACACCUAAAGGAGGCUCUGUCUUUCUCGUCUGAGGAACCAACAAACAACGCUGAGCAUCUCUGUCCUGCCAGAACCUAGACCACCACGCAGCACCUGAGAGGAGCCCUGACUGCAGGAGGACAUCUACACCAGACAAAGGGAAGGAGCCAGAUGAGACAGAAAGGAGGAAGAGGAGCCAAAGGAGAAUGGUUACGGAGGAGGAAUUGGUCUGACUUGUAAAUUGGAAAUGGGGAAGCUGGGACAGACUCUGAGGAAAGCUGGACAGGAGCUGCCUGCAAGCAGUGCUGCAGAGGGAAGUUUCCAUGGGGAAGCCUGGAAUAGCUGGAAAAAGGCACUAACUCCAGUGAGCUAAUCAGCCCUCCAGAACUACCUAUAUUCCCUAGGGAGUAAAGCUCACACAUCUGAACUUCAUGACAGCUCUUCAGGUGAGAGUUUUUCACCUUUAUCCACUGAUAAUCAUUAAUUUAAAAGAGUGGACUAACCCUUA
rnacentral:lncRNA from 1 species